AUUGAACGCUGGCGGCAGGCCUAACACAUGCAAGUCGAGCGGAGCAGCAGACGGGUGAGGGAUGGCUAUGACUCUGACUGGUAGUGGGGGAUAAGGUCCGGAACCGGAAGCUAAUACCGCAAACUAUCGCAUGCGCCUAGGUCGGAUUAGCGAGUUGGUGGGGUAAGGGCCUACCAAGGCGACGAUCCGUAACUGGUCUGAGAGGAUGAUCAGUCACACUGGAACUGAGACACGGUCCAGACUCCUACGGGAGGCAGCAGUGGGGAAUAUUGCACAAUGGGCGAAAGCCUGAUCCAGCCAUGCCGCGUGUGUGAAGAAGGUCUUCGGAUUGUAAAGCACUUUAAGUUGGGAGGCGUUACCAACAGAAUAAGCACCGGCUAACUUCGUGCCAGCAGCCGCGGUAAUAC
rnacentral:rRNA from 1 species